CUUGACUUUUAACCAGUACAGAAACAUUGUAAAUAUAUGACAACAGAUUUUUAAUAUAAUAUUGUGUGUUAGGAAGUUCACUGUGUAAAUAAUCUCUGCACUGCAAAAUAUUUGGUGGAGGCAUCACUGAAUAUAGGAAAGAUCACGAGUUAUACAUACUAGCGUGUGGUUCCUCUACAAAAGGAGUUAAAGAUACAAGAGGUAAGGUAGGAUGAACCUUAAUAAUAUAAAUAUUAUUUAUACACCUUUACUGAUAGGAUUUCAACUGUAGGCAUACAUGCUUUAUCGUAAUACAGGACUUCACUACCCUUUAUUUUACCAUUUGAC
rnacentral:lncRNA from 1 species